rfam:Nocardioides luteus strain BAFB contig00028, whole genome shotgun sequence.
GGCUCGCGGGCCGCGCGGGGUAGGCUGCGAGCACGCUCGUGGCGCAGGAACCCGGUGAGAGUCCGGGGCGGUUCCGCCACUGUGAUGUCCGUUCCGAUGCUGGGCACGGACACAGCCAGACACUGGCCGCGGGCAUCCGACCGAU